GGCUUUGCCCCUUUGCCUUCGCCUGCUCCCCAACUUUUCUCCCCCGCCUGCUCCCAUCCGGGGGGCUUCUGCAGCUUCAGGGGAGCAGGAGCUUUUCAAACGCCUGAGCAUUUAUUUCUUACCAAAAAAAAAAAAAAAAAAUCUACACACAGCCAAUCCCAGCAGUGGAGCGAGGCGCACUGCACAUACAGUCCCGCUCUCCAAGGCUGCCCUAGUCGGCUCCGGAUCCCAGGGCGCUCCCCGAUUUCGUCCCCGGCUCUUGUGCCAGCGCCUUUGCGUGCCCCUGAGCUCGGGACGCGGGGUUGCUGGAGAGGAAAGAACCUGGGUCGAGCCCUUUUUGGUGUCUGGGCGUUUCCGCCUCGGUCCCUCGCCACCAAGUCGCGGAGGUCACCACAGAAUCGACUCAGGCCACUGGAAAGAGGGGGCCUAAAGGCUGGGGCCCCAGCACUACCGUGGCAUCCCAGGCCGCUCCUAGACAGGAAGAAGCGUGAGGAACAAAGGGGACCCUGAGACAGCCUCCUCUCUCGGCCCCGCGCGCAACCGUCCGUGGAAGAGAAGCCGCCUCAGCCGAGCCGACCUAACCUGGGCGCGAGCGGAACUUUACAGCCCCCGGAGAGACUGGGCUCCCGAAGGCUCCAGCUCCGGAUCCCGGAUCCCCGCCUCCGAUAGUGCCUGCGCUUCUACCACAGUGGCUUUCAGGACCUAAGGAGGCGGCUCAGGACCCUGGGAACGGCAAAAGUCCUGGUUUCCAAAUGUGCCAGGGGUGCCUGCGACGCUCAGCCUCCAGCGGGAAGUACUCCCCAGGCCUUUCGGCUGUGUUUGUGAUUUACUUUCGUCUUUCAGGACCCGGGAAAAUAUCUACGAAGAUACUAGGCACUGCCACGAAAUGUUUCCAUUAGCACCCUCAUCUUACUCCUGGAGGUGUAAGCCAGACCCUAAUAAUUCGGCCCAAGGAUCCCCAGCCUCCCAGCAGCUCCUGUGGCUGCGGGGAGUCUGGGCCCACUCGGUGGGUUCAGCGAGAACCCUCCGACUUGGGGCCCGGCUGCCUCGAGGAAAGGGACCUGGUGGGGAAGAUUCUCCAGAUUGGAUACUUAAAGCAAAUCAAAUAGCGAACUAAUGACACGAAAACCAUAUUUACACGAAAGAAAAAUCGACUCCGGUUAUAAAAGUGUAUGGAAUCUGACCUCGCCUCGGAGAAACACUACACAAAAGCUAUCUUUAAUAGACGCCUGUCAUUUAAGAGCGGCAGGGACGCUGUCCCUCAUGCACUCACAGAAAAACAGAGCCGUAAUUGUAGCUGCUGCUGCGGGCAGGAUUUAUUUCUCCAAUUGGCUAAAUGGCCUCCCCCCUUCCCCGAAGGUGAUAUCUGUAUUUUCAAAUUUCAGAGCUGCCGGCACGACGGGCAGAACCGACCCCAACCUCGACACAAAAAUAAGAGGGGCUGCACAGCGGGGAAAUAAAGUUGUUGUAAAUAAAAUCCAAGUCACCAUCUCCCCCCCAAUCCUCUGCAUCCUCGCCGGGCGCGCGAUCGGCAGCUGACGGCCUCACAAUUGGUACAUCCUAAUGGAACUGCGAGGGAAAUGCAAUAAUUUUGCCAUAAUGGGCUGUAACCUCAAUUCGACCCCGGCCUUUGCAGCCCUGGGUCGGAAGCGGAGCGAUGCGCCCUGCCUCCAGCGGGUGGCGCUCGAGUCCGACUGAACGGCGGCGGCGGGUGGCGGGCACGCGCCGGGGGCGCGCGCGCCACCCCUCUCGCCUCCACCCAACUCCCCCAUUAGUGCACGAGUUUACCUCUAGAGGUCAUCAGGCAGGAUUUACGACUGGACAACAAAAGCACGUGAUUCGAAGUCGUACCCCAUAUUUGGGUGCCUACGUAGGAGGGAACCAAGUACAUGUCCCAGUCAUUUCCAUAAUUCAUCAUAAAUUGUGCAAGGGUGCUAUAGACGCACAAACGACCGCGAGCCACAAAUCAAGCACACAUAUCAAAAAACAAAUGAGCUCUUAUUUUGUAAACUCAUUUUGCGGUCGCUAUCCAAAUGGCCCGGACUACCAGUUGCAUAAUUAUGGAGAUCAUAGUUCCGUGAGCGAGCAAUUCAGGGACUCGGCGAGCAUGCACUCCGGCAGGUACGGCUACGGCUACAAUGGCAUGGAUCUCAGCGUCGGCCGCUCAGGCUCCGGCCACUUUGGCUCCGGGGAGCGCGCCCGCAGCUACGCGGCCGGCGCCAGCGCGGCGCCUGCCGAGCCCAGGUACAGCCAGCCGGCCACGUCCACGCACUCGCCUCCGCCCGACCCGCUGCCCUGCUCCGCCGUGGCCCCCUCGCCCGGCAGCGACAGCCACCACGGCGGGAAAAACUCCCUGGGCAACUCCAGCGGCGCCUCGGCCAACGCCGGCAGCACCCACAUCAGCAGCAGAGAGGGGGUUGGCACGGCGUCCGGAGCCGAGGAGGACGCCCCCGCCAGCAGCGAGCAGGCGGGCGCGCAGAGCGAACCGAGCCCGGCGCCGCCCGCCCAACCCCAGAUCUACCCCUGGAUGCGCAAGCUGCACAUAAGUCAUGACAACAUAGGCGGCCCGGAAGGCAAAAGGGCCCGGACGGCCUACACGCGCUACCAGACCCUGGAGCUGGAGAAGGAGUUCCACUUCAACCGCUACCUGACCCGCCGAAGAAGGAUUGAAAUAGCACAUGCUCUUUGCCUCUCUGAGAGACAAAUUAAAAUCUGGUUCCAAAACCGGAGAAUGAAGUGGAAAAAAGAUAAUAAGCUGAAAAGCAUGAGCAUGGCGGCGGCGGGAGGGGCCUUCCGCCCCUGAGUAUUUGAGCGUUUAAAGUACUGAGCAGUAUUAGCGGAUCCCGCGUAGUGUCAGUACUAAGGCUACGUGUGCCGCCUGGUCAUUCAAAUUGUCAAUUUUAGGUCCAGAAGUGUCCAAACCACAAGUUCUCAAAACUCUCUGAAAAAUGGCUCCCUCCGAGUUAAGGUAAGCUCGCCUCCUGAGCGCUUUCAAGUUUAUUUGUACUCUGGAAACUUUCUUCCUCCAUCUCUCUCUCUCUCUCUCUCUCUCUCUCUCUCUCUCUGGUUCAAUAACUCUGAGGUUGCCUCUGAAUUCAAAAGGGCAGAGCCCACUUCUCCUCUGCCCACAUUAGCAGCGCCGGGAGCCAGCUCUGCGGAGGCACCCCGGUGAAAAGCGCCUGUGGCCGCCGCGUCCCCAGGCCUAACUUUAAUUGCUGCACAACCGCGAAUGUUAAUGACUUCCGCUGCUCUCGCCGGCGUGCAAAAGAUGAUUUUUGUGUGCGAAUGGGCCUGUGUGCGGAGCCUUGGCAAGGCCAAGACCCCCAUUCCGGGGGCUGGCGGGGCUGGCUCGUCGGGGGGCAGAGGGGCCCUAGGGUGGGGGCUGGGAGACAGUGGGGCGCCGGCCACGGGCGCCGAGGGCCGCGCUGCGCUGAGGAGUGCUCGGAGUUUGAAAGAAAGGCCCAGGCAGGGCCGAGGCGGACUCUGGCGGGAUUCCUUACGGGGCUGUGGCAAUAUGUCUUCGCGGGCCGAGGUCAUUUGGCAGCCCUGAAUUGAGGCGGCUGCCUUCGGGGCCGAGUUUCAGGCCGGCUCUCAGAGAGCCGGAGGGUGGCAGAGGCCGGCGAGGCGCGGGCCGCACCUUCAGGCUGGGCCCCUGGGUGGCCAGGCCGAGCCCAGGACUGUGGGGACUGCGGGUCCCCACCUGGGGGGGAGGGGAAGAGCUCGACCCCCUCCCCGCCCCCGCCCCCCCCCCAACCCGGGACCAGGCCCUGAACCUUGUUUGCCUGCACGUUCUUUUUAUUUCGGUGGGACUGUUCUCACCCGCCUGUGAGUCUGAAGCAAUAAACUUUAUGGCCGGAUUUAACUUUAGUCUUUGAAUCCCCAGGCUAAAUGAAAGGAGUUAAAGGCUUUCUUUUCUUCCGCCUUCCCUUUCUUCUCCCUCUCUUCUUUCCUUUUCCUCUCCUCCUUUGUAGAAUUAAGACCUGCAGGCACAGGGCGCUCAAAAGGCAACUUAGGGGUCCCCCUAGGUAACACUAAAGAUUAGAGAAAUUCACUUCCCCUCAACAUACAGACAAAUUCUGUCUUCCAAACUGCGCCCUAAAGUUUUGGGGGAAGUCUAGGUGUCUUCAAUGCCCAACUUAAAAGUCCCCAGAGCCAUUAGGUUGUUUUUCCUGACACCUCAUAAAGGAUAGUUUAGGGAAGAAAUUGGUCGUUUGUCAGUAGGAGAUUUCCGCCUUUCUUUUGUUAGCUGCUCUUUCUGUUUGAUCCCAGGAAAUUUACAUAAUCUAUGAUUUCCAAAACAGUUCCCAAUAUUGCACCAACAGUGAAGUAAGGUGAAAUAAUUUUUUUCCUGGGUCCAGUUCCAACUUGGCCUCAGCCACCACCCCCUCUGGCCCAAAGCCUCAUAUUCUUCAGUGGCAAAGUGACUGGGGAUGCUGUGGCCUGUGCAGGGGUCUUUCUCUGGAUGGGUACCCACCAGAGACUUAGCAGAUUCCCCAACUCAGCCUGAAGAAUUAAGCCAAAUUCUCCAGCUCAGAAGUGAAAUUUAAAAAUAGAAACUUCUGUCUCCAAAUGCUUUUCUCCUUAGGAGCCGGAUAGUUUUCUGCAAGUGCUAAUUGGUAAUGAUAUUUGCUAAUGGCUUAAAGUGAAAAAAAAAUUAAGGUAUAGUUUGGGAAUUUCAACAAACUUUAUUGUGCAGAGGCCACUUAAACUCAGCGUAAGUCCCACAGUUGGUCCCCAAAGUCAGAGGUCCAAAAAACAAAACUGGGAAGUUUUUUUAAAAAAUCAAAACCCUCCCACAAGUCCCAGUUCUCUGACAUAGUGGCAAGGCAAAUCCCUGAAGUCACCCUGCGUGACCUGUUAAAGUACUGGUAUUUCAGCACUCAGGAAGAUAUGUCCGCAUCUUAGUGGGAACCAGAAUAUAAACUCUCUUUGGGUUCUCUUUUGUCAUUUUGGUGUCUGUGAGAAUUCUGGAGUUUUUGUUUUGCUGCUCUGACUUUUGAGUUCUUUACUGGAAAAUAUUGGGUUAAGUUUUUAUUUUAGUUACUCAUUUGGUGAUCUUGCUUGAGUGAUUUCUUGGUGACUAAAAUUAGUAGCAGAAAAAAAGAGCCAUAGGGCUCUGGCAGGUUCAUUUGAGUAACUUGCCCAAAAGGAAGCGUCCACAUCACCUCCACCUCCGUGGCCACAUCCCACCCUGGGUGGGGAAUGGGCAGAAAAGCUGUUAGACCGAUAUCCAGUAUUACCUACUGUAGGGAAUCUUUCCUGUGAAUUGAAAAAAAAAAUGCAGGCUAUAUAUACUGUCAACUUGCUUAUUUCUGUCUGUUGUAAUCUUCAUAAAAGUUCAGAGUUCUUAAGAGGGCAGAUUAAGUCACAAGGAGUUAAAUGACUUUUUAAAAAUACAGCAUUCAGUCAGACCUAUGUGAGCGUUAUUGGAGAAAUUUUUUUCUUCUUAUUUUCAUAGGAAGCAUAAUAGGGAGGAUGGCUGGUUUUCUGCUUAUUUUGUAGAUAAGUUAUUUCUUCUUGUGCCUUCUUUGGUGUUGUUUUGCAGAGGAACUUACUUAGGAAAAAAAUCUCUGUCAUUAAGGGCUUUAUGAAGACAUCCAGCCUCAGCCGGUGGCAGAAGUGUCUGUCUGUGCUCCUCAUCUUGUAAAAGGAGAAGGUGUCCUGUAUGUGCAGGGCCUUGUUUGUUUCUACAAGCCGCAGAGGCAAUAUUUCCUGAACUAUAAAUAUAAUAGGAAGCUUCUGGUCACACUUACUUAGGGGUUUGUUAGGGUUUCCAUGGUCUAAUUUCACAACAUUAUGCCGAGAUUCCUUUUCUCCAGCUCUUUCGCCUGCUUCAUUGUUGGCGGCUUUGGGAGAGCGGGACAGAAUUUUCUACCAGAAAUAGAGUCAUGUUUAUUUGUUGAGAUGUGAAGAGUAUUAUAUCCAAACAAUUAGUGAGGGGGAGAGCAAAUUACAUCCUGAAAGAUGGGAUGUUAAAGAGGAAAACAAUCCUUUUAGCUUAAAAGAUGCCCUUCAAAGCCUCUCCCCUGCCUUAGCUCGGAGUCUGAGGUUUGCCCACCAUGGAGAGUGCAGAACGUUGUGGGCUCCAUCCCCUUGGCUUCUAAGGCAGAAUUUCUUUCUAGUCAAUGACAAAACUAUAAACGGGGCUUCCAGACAAGGCUGAGGGGGUCAGCCGAGGUUCCCACCCACAGAGGAGAGGGGAACCACAGUCCUGGCCAUUCUAAACCCCAGAACUCCUAGAUCUGCCUAGGUCUGUUUUGUUUGGUGUUUUUCACAAAGAAAGCUGUCCUUCUUCCACCAGGUCCCCUCCCCACAAACCGGUCUUUUCAAUAAUAAUAUUUGUUAUGAAGGUUAUUGGGUAAUUAUUGCGAUUUUGUGAAGCAGCCCUUGCUGGAGGUGAAGUCUGUCAUCGCCUAACAAAUGACGCCCGUGCAGUUCACUGCCGGGUUAAGUAAAUGCAGAGAAGAUAAAUCUGCACACCCUAGGAAUCGCCAGCAGAGCACGCUUUAGUACAAGUUCACAGUCAACUCGCCUGCCUGGGCCAGCUCUCCCAACAAUUAAGGCUGCAUCUUUAUUUUUAAAUAAAGAAAAAAAAAUGUCUCCAACUCCUACUGCCUGCUUUCUCCCUGUUUUCUUUUUUCUUUCACUUUUUUUUUUUGAGGUUUCACCCUCCUAUUCCAAAUUCUCCUUGUAAAUGUGAUGAUGAGUGAUUUUGAAAAUAAUCUCCCUCAUAUUUAAGUGCUGACAAAAAGAGGUAGGAGGCUGAUUUGACAGGAAACCCAGUCACAAACACCCCAAAAUAUCCAAUUCACCCCCUUACUCCCAAGGACAGUGACAGAAGCAGGGUGUCCCUGAGAUCCUGGGGGGCCCCUUCCUCCUGAAGGAAGAGGCACAGCUUUGUGUAUCUUUGCGGCUAGUGCGUUGCAACUGCGGGUCAAAAAGUUGAGGGUCAAAAGUUUAUGUUGUGCAGCACUCUUAGUCAUCUGCCCAGACAGAGUUUGAUGUCAAUGUUAGAGCUGCGAUCUUGACUAUCAGCACAAAAGAUAAAAUGGCUCGGAGUGACGCGUGUAUCAUGGUAUGGACUCCAGGUGAACCCUAGUGGUUGAAUGACCUCAAUUACGGAGGAAAGGAUAGAAAAUUCCUCUUUUCAAGAGUAAUACAUGCUGUAUUUCAUCUUGAAUUAUCGCUCCCAUUCUGAGGGAAUAGCAGCAGGUAAAUAGGCAUGGAUUACUGAAACACCAACACCUUAGAUGCUGGAGAACCAGAAGUCUGUGAGUUUGCCACAAAAUUAAAAAGCUCAAAACAAAACUCAUCAGUGGACCUUUAAAAACUAAUAUAGCAAGUUUUCAGGGUCUCAACAUAUCUUCAGAGGCAAGAGAACUAGGCAGGACACUUCCUUUAUUUGAAAAUUGCUAUUUUGAUUGGACAGUUUCUUUUUCUUUUUCAUACAUAUAAUGAUCCCUCAAGUGCGUGAGAACAAGGGCAGGCACAGGCACUUCUCGCAAAAUGUCUUCUUUGCAAUUUUCAAACACAGAAUGGUUUUUCUGAAACCUCCACCCACUAAAUGCAAGAGUUCUCAGAGCUGGGAAGGGAAGGAAGGAAGUGGAAAUGCUCCCGAAAGGGCAGGAUUGUUCCCCCCUCCACCAGGGAGAAAAUGCAUAUUGGUAUGAUGAAAAUGUUCCUGUUGUUGGAAAUUUUUCAUUAUGUUUCUUGUUACCCCUAUACCGUAUAUAAGAGAAACGCUACAAUCUAUAAGGGAUAACUAAAAUGAAAAGAAUAUGCUAUUUGAACAGGAAAAUGGAAUCCACAAAUGCCAGGCCACUUUCUUAAGACCACCGUGAGGGACUUCUCUUCUUCUGAAAAUACUCUUUAAAAAUACAUUUGGAAUAAAAACUAAGGAGAGGGGAAGCAAGUUCAGGAGGAAGGGUGGGAGUGUAGAAAAGAAAGGGGUAGUGUGUUAAGGAAGCCAACUGGAACCAUGCCUCAUGUGUGAAUUGCAACUGGAGAACUAAACAAUAUUUUAUUUUUCAUGCACCUAUAUUAGCUGUAAAUGUUGGUGCCUUUAGAAUCUGUUUUCUGGAGGGACAUAUUGUCCUUUUCUAUGCAUUGAUCUUCAAGUAAUCAGAGUAGGAAAACAGGAGAGAAAAAUGAAAUUUUUUUCUACGUUUUCCCUUUUAACUUUAGAGAUGAGUUAAUUCAGCUACUCAGAAUGUGGACUCUUGCAGGGAUAUUUAAGAUCAUCCCAGUAUAUUCUGGUUGAUUGGAUUUGCUGGUGCCAGGUACGUUUAAUGGUAAUGUAAAUAUUUCCUAAGCACCGCCUUCAAGGAAGCCAUCAGAUUGCUUCCACUGUGCAAUGUGUAAAGUUUUCACUCUGGCCAAGAGCUUGAAGCCAGAUGGGGGUGUGCCAGAUGAAAACAAAAAAAAGGAAACAACCGUGGUGGUUACUGUUAUAGCAAUGAACACUUCACCACAUCUGGGCUAGCGAAAUGAAGAAAACUGAAACCCCCUCUAUUACUCACCAAGACAAUUAUGUGUCUCUUCAAGAAGACCUUGUUAUUGUGGUAUUGGUUAAAAGCGUGCCACACCUUAGAAACAUGUCAACUUCAAUAAGCAUAGACACCCCUUCACCAGCUUUAAAGUUGUUUUGUUUUGUUUUAAAGUACCUGCAGAAGUUAUUGCUUUUGGAGUACCCACCUUUUUUAUUUGGAGGAGUUUUAUCUUUAGGCCCCUCACACAAUUCAGUUUAAAAUUCAUGUUUAAUCCAGAUACAUAUUUCAAUCCUUAUGUGUGGGUUGAGUGCACUAUUGUAAACUACUACAAGGAAAGUGCCCCUUGGUGGAAUGGCUGAUAGAGUGUUGCUUCUCUAAAAUCAUAUGCCUACUGUAGAUCUCAGGAAGUCCUCAAAUGCCACCAUCAGGCAUUUUGAAAUAGAGCUAUUACCGUGUGCGCUCCAAAGACUUGCUUCAGACAGAGAACAGUCUGGAGAACACUCGCUCUAAAGAACAAAGGACAAAUACAGUCAAUACAUUCCAUAACGUUUACAUUUCCUUUGCUUUUCCCCUUGGUUUUCCCUGAGAAGGAGUGACCUGGGCAAAGCACUCUGCUCUCUAAAAGACACUGUAUAGACCUUUUAGAAGCGCAAAGUCCAAGGCCGAGGUGAACUUCAGGUCAGCGCGUCUAACAAAUAUGAAAAUGUCGGCUAGUGAAGGGCGCGCCUUGUGAUUUAACAAAGACUGUCAAUGUGUAAGAUUAAUAAGAAACAAAAUGCGCACGGUGUCACUGUUCGGUCACUUUGAAACUUGGGACAGGGUUGCAUUCAAGAGGGAAGGCUGUUCCAAAUAUAUUCAAAAUGAUUCAAAUCAGAUUCAAACGAGGCUGCAGACACUGCCUCCCUCUUGCCCUCCCUCUCCCUUAGACUCCCUUCGCUCUCCUUUUCCAUCUGGGAUUCGAGGACAUGAUGAAAAGUUAUUUCACUUAAUGGGAUUUUAAGAAAGCUUUUGUUGGGAAUAUAUGUUAUCUCUGCACGUGGAAAUGAGCAAAUGCGCUCACCAGUUUCCCAAGAAAAGGAUAACGCUUUCACCCUGCUAGGGACUGGAGCCAGUUGGUGUGCGAAGAUUAGCACGCUCCCUCUCUGCUCGAUUUCAGGGCAUCCCAUCUUUUCUCCGGCGAGACGCUGCUGGUAAACUUCAGUUUAUUUAUUAAUCAAGUUAGUCUCUUCCUGGCUUUGCUUUGGUGUGUUGGAUCUUAUGUAAAGGCAAGAGGUUUGGUUUUUUUAAAGCGUUUUUCAGAAGAUUAUUUGAUUCCAUGGAAUGAUGCUAUGGCUUGCAAAGAGAGAUUGUGGAAGGAUCAGAAAAGGUACUGAGAUUGUUUAUUACAGCCAUAAAUCUUGCAGUAAAAUGUCAAAAUGUCGGUGUGUGAGAUAACACUUGGUGGUCCUGGCUCCGUUUGUGUUUAUGAUAGGAACCACAAAGACAAGUUACAGGCCUUGGGGGAUUCUGUGUAAGCCCAUCUUCCAAAAGUAAUAGAACCACAUGAAACACAGGCACAGUUAACUCGUUUAGGUUAACCAUAUACAAAACAGUGCCUGUGUCUCGUUAAUACUUUAAAAAUAGAAACGCAGUAGAAGGUUCUGAGGCUAAACAACAUGAAUUUUGUGUUUUAGUGUCUGUAAAUAAUAUUAAACAGAUGUAGUUAAGACCCUAGUACUCAAGGCUGAUGACAUGAGGAUGGCAAAAUUUCCUUGUCAUGUUUUUUUUUCUUUCCCUGAAGCUUAGGAAGCCACGUUUUGUAAAUUACAUUAUGUAUGUAUAUAUUGUUCAUAUAAAAUAAUAUAUAAAAUAUGAUGCACAUAUUUUUUUCUUGUUGUAGAGAAAUAACUGAUUUAGUUAGCUAUAUCACAGGCUAGAUUUCCCCCCAACUCUAGAGAGGAUGUCUAAAGAUUACGCUCAGUGUUGAUUUCUGUCUGUGGCUCAGAUUUCAUUU